GUGCUUGCUUUGGCAGCACAUAUCUAAAACUGGAAUGGUACAGAGAAGAUUAGUAUGGCCCCCAUGUGAGGAUGACAGAAAGGCAAGUAAUAAACAUUCUAAGUUG